rnacentral:misc_RNA from 1 species
CAACCCUUAAGCCUAGCUUAGUGUUGGGAGUCUACGUGCGGCCCAAGCUACCCUGUAGCGUGGUUACCCUGUAGUUCCUGAAAAUCAACGGCGGAUUUAUAGUAUCCUCUGAGCGUAGUAAUUUUUUAUCUCGCUUCUGUUUAGGUGCUGUGGAUUCUGCCGCUAAACCCCCAAUUUUUUGU